CUUGCGAUCGCGACACAGGCUACAGUAAAUUUUUGGAGGCUGUGUUUCGAUCUUGUCCUACUAAUUUAUUUUCUGUUUCUGCGCGUGUAAAAGCCACAAACCAUAAAGCCGACACAAGACAAAGCUAUAGUCACAAGCUAAACAGAACGAGCAAAGUUGUAAUAUAAGAAGAUAUUUCGGAGAUUCCUGCAUGGUCCAGAGCCAGACAAAGAAGGAGUCUCACCCAAAUCGGGCUGGCAAUUGCCUUGCAGCAAAGCCAUCAACAAAACAAGACAAGACAAGACAAG